UAAUUUCCAUCACCAUCAUCAAUUUCAUCACCGUCACCAUCAUCAUCACGUCAUCAUCAUUACCAUCAUUAUCACCAUCAUCAUCACCGUCACAAUCAUCAUUACCAUCAUUAUCACCCACGGCAAAAAAGUCCUCGUUUUCCAUUAAUUUUCUAAGUUAGAAAACGUAUAGAAAAUCAGCAAUAAUCUUGAAUAUUCUUUGGAUUUUCCCGUCUUGGUAAAAUUUGAGAUUUUCCAUGGCGUUUUCCUCGCAUUUUCCACAUCAGAUAAUCUCACAUUUUCAGGCUCCGUUAAUCUGAGAUAUUCCAGGCACCUUCCUCGCAUAUUCCUUUGCAAGAAAAUGUGGAAAAAUCCAUCGCGUUUUCCCGGCGUUUACCGAGAAGGAUAACUCGAGUAAUCCAAAGAAAACGCAUGGCAAAUUAACCCUGUAACCCCGUUUGGUCGCAUUUUCCUCGCAUACUCCUUGGUAGGAAAAUUUGGAAAAAUCAAUCGCGUUUUCCCGGCGUUUACCGGAGAGGAUAACGCGAGUAAUACAAGAUGCAAGAUGCCGGUCCCUUGCCUGAAAUAGAUCCUCCCGGACAGAUUGGCGGAGUCGUUGUGGGGAUCUGGCUUUGGGCUACCUGUGAAUUCAUGGCGCGAGUACUGGGUCCAGGGGGUGGAAACGAGGCAAAAUUCAAAUUCAAAAGAGAACUCGGUCGGAUCAGGGGCUUUGUGAGCUUUAUAGCUUGUUUCAGCUGAGUUUUUGCGAAAAUUUCUCUACAACAGCUAUAGAAACUGGCCUUUACCCAUUUCAAGGAGAAUUCAAGUCGAAAUGAAAUGAAAUAACACCAAGCGUCUUUUGCCACAGAGGAGAGAGAAGCAAAGCCAGGAUGCAACAUGAUGAUGGGUUAUCCAGCUUGUGCUUAGAAGACCUUGGGGUCUUUAUAUCAACAACUAGAUGUAAGCAUGAAGGGACAUUUUUGCUUCGAUUGUAGACUGUGAGAUUUCAGUAAGCAAAGCACCAGAGGCUCUCCAUGGCUGGAUCACUGGAAAACCUGAGUAGUAUUAUCUAGAAUUUCAUGGCAUUUCAUACAGCCCUUCUUGCCAUGCUUCUACAGUAAACACCUGCAAUAAGAACCUACUUUUUUGUGAGUUACUAUAGCCUAAACAUGUUUUUAUAUGAGAGGUGCUCAGUGAUAUUUUAGGCUAUUUACUAUAGGCUCUUCCUCUUAUAGAAGAUUCUUAUUUUUAUAUGAAGUUAUGGUAACAUGUUGGCAGACUCAUUGAUGUAGAUUUUAAAAAGAGCCUUCUAAGUUUUCUUUUUUUUUUCCUGACCAUCCUCAUAUGUAACUGCUCCAAAUGCUUGGCCUAAAAGGUUCUUAUACAAAAAUGGGGUUCUAAUUUGAACAUUUUAGACCAACAGGUUCUUGUACACAGGUGCUCACUGCAGUUGUAAAAGUUCAAUAUGUUCUAUUUAAAAAAUAUCUUUCUUUUUGGACCCUCACCUUGUGGCAUUUAUCUUUUUAGUAAUGCCCAUUUAGUUAUUUUUUAUCGAAUGUUUUUUUUUAAAGAAGCUCAGCAAUUUUACAAAGUGGAAGAGGUAUUGCACAGUACCUUUUAUACUAAAACUAUAUUAUUGUUACUAGAAAUGAGGGGGUUUGUAGGUAUUCUUUUACGUUCCAAUUGUUUAUGCGAGUUAUAAUUAUAAUAGUUUAAAUACUUAUUUAUUUGACAACGAUUACAAGUUAUUAUUUAAUAUGAACGAUUAUAAUGUUUUAUAAUGAUUAUAAUGUUUAUUCAAAGUAUGAGACUAUUUUUAUAGUAGGUAGGAUUUUAAACAGGGAACGUUUACAAGAAACUAUUUAUGUGCUAUGUUGUAAAAUUACGAUACGAUGUGACAUGUUUUAAAUAAAUUUGAAUUUUAUCAA